GCCCAAGGGAGUGAAUUUGUUAUCCUAACAAAUGCUUGUGCAGCUCAUGCUGUAUUUAAUGAGGGUUCCGUUUGCGGUACUUUUUCGGAUCGGAUGACAACGUUUUCAUGUAACUUAGCGGUUCAAAAUGUUCUUUUGCCUACCUUUGAACAGCCUCGUUUCUUACGUGGAACAUAUUCUCCUUGUCUCUCCGGACAGACACAGCUGUAUUAGGAUGCAAGGAGAAGCCCUGGUUAAACUAGUUUAUUUAUUUGUUCUGGUAAAUGAAAAGUGUAGGGAUAGUGCUUCUUUAGGUUUAAGAACCACUUAAGCCUAAAGAGUCUUGCACCCAUGAUGAUUCCCUUUUAGGUGAAUUUUGUUUCUGUAUUGGGAGACAUGCCCCCCGCCCCCCCAGCUCUACUGUGAUUACAGUGGUCCGUAAUACAUAAAUAAGAGAGUGCUUUUCUCCUUCUCUCUGGCGAAGUCCAUGGCAGGCCUCUGAUUGGGUUGGCUCUUGCCCACUUAUGAGUGGAAAUGUACUAAUUUGCUUGCCCUUGUGUGAGUCACUCUCUGCUAUAACUUUUCCAUCCCACAUGGAUCAAAGUGGUAGUAAUAGGGACUGGGGGAGGGCUGGUUCCUCCAAGGGAGGAUACUGAAUAGAUUGCCCAGAGAGAUUAGGACCCUUGGGUGUCCUUUUUUUGUUGUUGUUUUUGUUUAUUUUGAGCGAGCACAAGUCGGGGAGGAAGAGAGAGAGAGAGAGACAGAGAGAGAAUCCCAAGCAGGCUCUGCACUGUCAGUGGCAGAGCCAGCUGCGGGGCUCAAAGUUAGGAACGGUGAGAUCAUGACCCCAGCCGCAACGUAGAAUUGGAUGCUUAUCUGACUGAGCCACCCAGUGGCUCAGUAUCAUUUUUAAAGAUAGGACUGUCGGGUUGCCAAGAUCAUUAGUUUGAGACUUAGUAUGAGCUUUUUGUUAAGGUAACCUAGGAAUUCUUAGUCAUUGUUUUUAGAACUAACUUUAAAAAAAAAUGCAAAUGAGUUUUUAAAAAAGGCAUUUGUUUUGAGACGGGGAGGAGGGGCAGAGAGGGAGAGAGAGAAUCCCAAGCAGGCUCUGUGCUGUCAGAUCAGAGCCUGAAUUCAGGGCUUGAUCUCCUCCCACACUGUGAAAUCAUUACCUGGGUGGAAACCAAGAGUUAGGUGCUUAACGGACUGAGCCACUCAGGUUCCCCUCCAAAGUGAUUUUUAUGUAGACCAAAAUAGUAUUUAGUGAGGAUUUUCCAUUAGUAGUAUUAAGAAAGCAAGGGAUGUGGUGUAACAAACACUGUGAUAACAGUCUUGUUAAAUAGAUUGUUUGGUCCCAGCUCUUAAGGAGCUUAGAGCUUUCAGAGGCAAUUGGUGCACAAUUUCAAGACUAACAGACAAGAGGGGGGGCCUGGGUGGCUCAGUCAGUUAAGCGUCCAACUGUUGAUUUCAGUUCAGGUCAUGGUCUCAUGAUUUCUGAGUUGAAGCCCCGCAUGGGGCUCCUCACAGACAGUGCAGAUGCUUGGGAUUCUCUCUCUCUCCCUCUCUCUCUGCCCCUCCCCUGUUUAUACUCUCUUUUUCAAAAAAACUUAAAAAAGACUAACAUACAAGAGGGAGUAGUGGAUAGUGGUUGUGAUAGAGUUCUGCUGUGAACUUUUAAAACUUCAUUCAUUUGUUCAAUCCUUAUUUUUUUAGGCAUAAAUGUGAGAACUAUUCCUAGGUACUAAGGUCGUUGCAGAGAUCGUGUCUUUGAAACUAACCGUGUUUCAUCAGUCAUCUCUAUAUUAUUCUCUCCUAGCCCUUUCAUUCAACAACUAUAUUUUUUUCACUUGCCCUUCUAGUGCGCUAGGAUAGGCUAAUAGAUAUAUACUACAGUCUAUUAAAUUUUAUGAUGCAGGUGUAUAUAAAAGUUCCUUGGGUAUAUAUGCUGUAAAAAUCAAACAGUUGUGACAUGUUCAUUCAAUCAAGCAAGCAGAAUAUCUUUAUUUUUAAAAGAAAAUGUUAUUAUUAUUUUUAAGUAGGCUCCACACUCAACAUGGGGCUUGAACUCAUGACCCCGAGAUCAAGACUCACAUGCUCUACCAACUGAGCCGGCCAGGUGUCCCUGGAAUAUCUUACUUUGUUUGUUUUUAAAGUUUAUCUAUUUUGGUAGAGACAGCACAAGUGGGGGAGGGGGCAGAGAUCAAGGGAGAGAGAGAAUCCCAAGCAGGCUCCGUGCUGCCUGUGCAGAGCCCAACAUGGAGCUCAAACUCGGGAACCUCGAGGGGGAGGAGGGAAACUUCAGAUCUCAGUGUGUGUGUCUUUUUGUGGCAGUCAGUUUUUUUCUUUUAAAGAGAGAAAGCUUCCGGUCUCCUUCCAUGAAAAAGCCUGGUUGUCAGCUUUCUGAAAUUUGACCAAGGGGAAACGGAGGUUGGGGAUUUCAGCAGUCAUACAUGCAGUCUUUUAUGUCAUCUGGUUUAGGGUGACACCUGUAUUAGGGUUGGAUUCAGCUGCAUGUAGUAGAUCCCAAGUAUCAGUUCAAUUAUGAUUUUCUUCCUGUGAAGAGUUGGUAGAUAGGUAGUUCUGGUCAUCCGAGGCUGGUGUAGUGCUUCUGUGAAGUUCAGGCUCCGGCGGCGUCCGGCCGUCUGCUCUGUAAAGCCUAGAGUCUUUGUUCUCAAGGCCCAGAUAGGAGUCAUACCCAAGUUUCAGGUCGUAGGAAAGACGGGAGAAAGGCAGAGGGCUCAGUUUCCAGAAUAUUUCCUGGAAGCUGCCCCCUAGCACCUUGCUUAUGUUACUGGCUUUUAGCGUGUGUCCACAUCACAGAAGGGUAGGAUAGAAAAAGGAAGCUUUAUUAAGGGCAGCCACAUACCCAGCUGAAAUGUGGGGUUCUAUUAGUAAGGAAGAAGGAGACAGAGUGAUGCAGGCAUUUAGCACUGCCAGCCAUGGCCUCUCAGUCCCCAUCCUCCCCACUUACUUGUGCUUGAUCCCCCAGCUUCGCUGUGUUUGAUAUCCUUAACAUUUUCCUCAGUCGAGGAGUUGGGAGCCUGAUGGUUUCUUUCAAAGAUUUUCAACCAUACCUUCUCUUCCCAGACUCAUACUGGAUUCCUUUUUUGAGUGGUGCCUCCUGUUUCUUAAUUUAGAUCCUUUCUGGCUUCUCCGGCAUGAUUUGGCUUCUACUUUGUUAGCUCCCUCUCCUCUAGGCAAUUAGAGUUUCAGCUUUCUCUCUCUGCUUCAUUCCUUCACUCCUCAUAUUUUAGAAAAUUUCCUGAAACCUCUUGUAUGCUAUUAGGCCGUUUCCCGUUGUCUUUGUCCUUGUGCAUUGACAUCUUGAAGAUUUUUUAUUCUUUUUUUUAGUGGAAUUUUGGGAGGGAACAGAGAAGGGUGUUGAUUCAGAUCUCCGGUUAACUGGGAGAGGGUUGUUUAUAUUUUCAUCUCUCCACAGUGGUUUUAUUAGUUUACCUUCCCAGGGCGCUGGGUGCCCCAGUUGGUUAAAUGUCUGACUUCAGCUCAAAUCAUGAUCUCACGGUUCGUGGGUUCAAGCCCCGCAUCAGGCUCUGUGCUGACAGCUUGGAGCCUGGAGCCUGUUUCAGAUUCCGUUUCCCUCUCUCUCUGCCCCUGCCCCACUCAUGCUCGCUCUCUCUCUCUCUCUC